rnacentral:rRNA from 1 species
AACGAACGCUGGCGGCAUGCCUAACACAUGCAAGUCGAACGAGACCUUCGGGUCUAGUGGCGCACGGGUGCGUAACGCGUGGGAACCUGCCCUUAGGUUCGGAAUAACUCCCCGAAAGGGGUGCUAAUACCGGAUAAUGUCUUCGGACCAAAGAUUUAUCGCAUUUGGAUGGGCCCGCGUUGGAUUAGCUAGUUGGUAGGGUAAAAGCCUACCAAGGCGACGAUCCAUAGCUGGUCUGAGAGGAUGAUCAGCCACACUGGGACUGAGACACGGCCCAGACUCCUACGGGAGGCAGCAGUGGGGAAUAUUGGAAAAUGGGCGAAAGCCUGAUCCAGCAAUGCCGCGUGAGUGAUGAAGGCCUUAGGGUUGUAAAGCUCUUUUACCCGGGAUGAUAAUGACAGUACCGGGAGAAUAAGCUCCGGCUAACUCCGUG